rnacentral:rRNA from 1 species
UAUACAGCGAAACUGCGAAUGGCUCAUUAUAUAAGUUAUCGUUUAUUUGAUAGUGCCUUACUACUUGGAUAACCGUGGUAAUUCUAGAGCUAAUACAUGCUAAAAACCCCGACUUCGGAAGGGGUGUAUUUAUUAGAUACAAAACCAAUGCCCUUCGGGGCUCUUUGGUGAUUCAUGAUAACUAUACGAAUCGCACGGCCUUGCGCCGGCGAUGGUUCAUUCAAAUUUCUUCCCUAUCAACUUUCGAUGUUUGGGUAUUGGCCAAACAUGGUCGCAACGGGUAACGGAGGGUUAGGGCUCGACCCCGGAGAAGGAGCCUGAGAAACGGCUACUACAUCCAAGGAAGGCAGCAGGCGCGCAAAUUACCCAAUCCCGACUCGGGGAGGUAGUGACAAUAAAUACUGAUACAGGGCCCUUUCGGGCCUUGUAAUUGGAAUGAGUACAAUUUAAAUCCCUUGACGAGGAACAAUUGGAGGGCAAGUCUGGUGCCAGCAGCCGCGGUAAUUCCAGCUCCAAUAGCGUAUAU